CUGACGACAACAGUGGGAAGACGGAAGAGGCUGAGUGAGAGAGCUCUGUGGAUGUAUACAGCCAAUAAUGGACAGUGGCAACAUAAAGAUUUGUUCAGAGUCACACUGCAGCAUUGGACUCCUUCAUGAUGUACGACAACUUAGUGCACUGUUACCGGAGGGAUACCAGUACACAGUGUGCGAAUACGCAGGUACAACUGAAGGCACAAAUGCUGUUCUACGAUUACAUGUCACAACUGAGGCCAUCGCCCGUACGUGGAUAAAAGAGUUUCAAGGAAAAACUAAAACUACUCUACGAACUCUAUCCAAGCAUAAAGUGACUGGUCAGAAAAGAGUCUUCCAGAUGCAUCUACGGUGUCACCACAACACCAAACCCAGGAGUAACACGGCCGAUUCAAGACAUGGAUCAAAAAACACAGAUUGUCCAGCCACCGUGAGUGUGAUCGUGAAGCAAACAAAUACUAAGCGAAAGAGCAGAUCAACUGAUACCCAUGCAACUGCCCUCCCUAUGGAGGUGAGACUGAACUUCACUCACAAUCAUCCAGUCCAGAGUGCCAGUGCACUGAAACACAGAGAUGUUAGUGACGAGGUAAAGGAUAUUUUCAUCAACCUCUACAAGUCUCUGCAUUCACCAUCAACUGCACUUCAUACAUACAAGUAUGAUCUGUUUGAAGAAUAUGGAGACGAAUUUGCACACAUCUCAGCAGACAGAGCUAAAUGUCCAGACUUGCAGUGGUGCUACAGUCAAGGUGUGUGGGGGGUUUCAUCUGGCAACUUAUAGCGCUUGCGCUCGUCCCACUCUGCCUUCUCCAUUAUGUUAUAUAAUAAUAAUAAUAAUAAUAAUAAUAAUAAUAAUAAUAAUAAUAAUAAUAAUAGGCUAAUUCAAAAUGUGUGGGUGUCUGUUGUUAGGUUGGAAAGUCAACUAGUGAUAAAAUUCCUAGACGUUUCGCUAGAUGAUAGCUUCCUCAGAAGAGAUGUGUGUGUACUGUGUGUAUAAGUAUAUAAGUAAUGUUAACCAAGAUGAUAUAGAUAAUAUAAUGUGCUAUACAUCAGUAGUCAUAUAACACUAUUGGUGAAGCAAAAAAAGUGGUAGGCAAUGUUAUAAUAAAAUUAUAUAUUAAACGGCGAAGUGGGAGGUAGGGAUAAUAUUUUGGGGGUAACAGGGGGCACUGUAGCUGUGCAUGAGUAUAAGAUGUCUAUGAAAGGGUAAAUAAUGAGAGGGACGACAGAAAGAGCAAGUGUUACAAAAGAGGGAGGAGAAGGGUAUGUUCUAGAAAAUAUAUUAAAGCGUUUAAGGAAUAGAAGUGAGCCUCAGAAAGGAUAUUUGCUAAGAAUAGAAGGUAGUGAGGAGUGAAGUACCUUCUGUACACACAUUUCUGCUGAGGAAGCCAUCAUAUAGCGCAGGGGUUCUUAACAGAGGGUAUCUAUACCCCUUGGGGGUAUGAGAACCACAUGCUGGGGGCAUGGGACUUGAUCUCUGGAUAAUUGUAAAUACUCAUUAUUUAUUUACAUUUUACAUUUGGUAAAUAAAUAUCUUCUAUAUAAAUAAAUGAGACGCGUUUGUUUGUUUGUUUGUCUGUUUAGUAGGAUCUGCAGCGCAGACGGUGAGUCGCAGACCCCAGAAACCAUAAUUAUAAUUAUAUUCUUAAUCAUGGGGAUCACCAUAGGCCAUGUUCUUUUUUUUUUUUCUUUUUUUUUUUUUUGUCGCAGACCACCAAACGCAUAUAUGGUUAUAGUAACAGACCUCACAAACAAUAUAUAUAUUCUUAAUUUGCACAUCAUGGGGAUUAACACUAGGCCAUGUUGUUUAAGAAAAAUAAUUCCCCGAGGGGGGAUGGAAUUUUUUUUUUAGUCGUAGACCCCCAAAUCCUUAUAUGGUUGUAAUGUACACAUCAUGGGGAUGAACAUAGGCUAUGAUGUUAUAUAAAAUUUCCCCCCCCCCAGAGGGGCACAAAUAUUGUUUCUCUCCCCUGGGGGGUCAAACAUAUUUGAAUCACACACCCCAAAACCCACAUAUAAAUGUUUUUAAUGUAUACAUCGUGGGAAUGAAAGAAGGCUAUGUUGUUUCUCAUGUAAAGAGACGUCCCCAGAGUGUUUUUUUUUUUUCACAGACCGCAGUCAUCUAUUUUA